UACGUAGGCAGCAAGCGUUGUUCGGAAUUACUGGGCGUAAAGAGUGUGUAGGCGGUGCUCCAAGUCUGGUGUGAAAUCUCCCGGCUUAACUGGGAGGGUGCAUUAGAAACUGGAGUGCUCGAGCGUGGGAGAGGAAAGCGGAAUUCCUGGUGUAGCGGUGAAAUGCGUAGAUAUCAGGAGGAACACCUGCGGUGUAGACGGCUUUCUGGACCAUUGCUGACGCUGAGACACGAAAGCGUGGGUAGCAAACAGG
rnacentral:rRNA from 1 species